AUUGAACGCUGGCGGCAUGCCUUACACAUGCAAGUCGAACGGUAACGGGCCUUCGGGUGCCGACGAGUGGCGAACGGGUGAGUAAUGCAUCGGAACGUACCUUUCAGUGGGGGAUAACGUAGCGAAAGUUACGCUAAUACCGCAUAUUCUGUGAGCAGGAAAGCAGGGGAUCGCAAGACCUUGCGCUGAUUGAGCGGCCGAUGUCAGAUUAGCUAGUUGGUGAGGUAAAGGCUCACCAAGGCGACGAUCUGUAGCGGGUCUGAGAGGAUGAUCCGCCACACUGGAACUGAGAUACGGUCCAGACUCCUACGGGAGGCAGCAGUGGGGAAUUUUGGACAAUGGGGGCAACCCUGAUCCAGCCAUGCCGCGUGAGUGAAGAAGGCCUCGGG
rnacentral:rRNA from 1 species